rnacentral:rRNA from 1 species
AUUGAACGCUGGCGGAAUGCUUUACACAUGCAAGUCGAACGAUGAAGCCUAGCUUACUAGGUCGAUUAGUGGCGAACGGGUGAGUAAUAUAUCGGAACGUAUCCAAUAAUGGGGGAUAACUAGUCGAAAGAUUGGCUAAUACCGCACACGUCCUACGGGAGAAAGCUGGGGAUCGUAAGACCUGGCGUUAAUGGAGCGGCCGAUAUCUGAUUAGCUAGUUGGUGAGGUAAAGGCUCACCAAGGCGACGAUCAGUAGCUGGUCUGAGAGGACGACCAGCCACACUGGAACUGAGACACGGUCCAGACUCCUACGGGAGGCAGCAGUGGGGAAUAUUGGUCAAUGGUCGGAAGACUGAACCAGCCAAGUAGCGUGCAGGAUGACGGCCCUAUGGGUUGUAAACUGCUUUUAUAUGGGAAUAAAAUACGUUACGUGUAAUGUUUUGCAUGUACCAUAUGAAUAAGGAUCGGCUAACUCCGUGCCAGCAGCCGCAGUAAAAC